rnacentral:rRNA from 1 species
GGAUGCUAUCAUACCAGCACUAUAGCACCGGAUCCCAUUAGAACUCCGCAGUUAAGUGUGCUUGGGCAAGAGUAGUACUAGUAUGAGUGACCUCCCGAAAAGUCUUCGUGUUACAUCCC